GCUAAUCUCUGGAAAAUUAUUACAGCGUAUGAUAUAGCAGAGAAUGUAAUACGGUACGCCUUGGAAUUUAUCAACUGACCACAUUUUGUCUUUCGUGGAAAAUAUAAACGAGGAUAGUCGGGAAAAUUAAAAAUGAAAUUAAACGCGUUGUUUUGUACAAACAGAAGCUGAAAAUGAUAACGUUUUAUAUAUAUAUCGUUAUCGAUAUAUCGUUAUAUUCAUGUAAUGAAAUAUAUAAUAAUGCUGCAAAUGUGCAUAUAUUUGAAAAUAUGUAUUAAGACUGGUAUUAAACAAUUACAUGUGUUUUGUUUAAUUAAUUAUUUAUCUUUUAAUCGGUAUAUAUUAAUAUAAGAGUUGAUUAAAUUAGUAAGUUGGACGCGGCGAGAAACUCAAUGUAUACGAUAGAAUGGGUUUUCAGUGUCUGAUUGAACAGUGUGAUUGUUGAUUUUCCAAGUAAACUUUAUAAGUACGCUAUUAUUGAUUUCAGUGACAUGAGAUUCGGGGUGUCCUCGAAAGCAGAUACGUCGAGCAUGACAGACAAAUGGCUCGUUCAAAGGAUCACCGACGUUGCAUUUGUGCAAAACAACUCGAGCGCGUACAGCAGUGCCGCAUCGAGCGCAAUGGCUAAUCACAAUGCAAACAGCCUAUACAUGGCCGAUCUUGUCGAUAAUAACUUAAGUCCGCAAGUAUGUCAGGAGGACGAGUUGUCAAGUUUUUAUUUAAUCGUCGUUUUAAUUUAAAGCAAUGAAACAAUUUAUAUGCAUAUUAAUCAAGUAGACGAAACAUCAUCCACAGGGACUAAAACUUCAACAUAAAAACCCUCCUAAGUUGGCACUCAAGACCUUAUUCUGUUGUAACACUUUGAUCCGUGACUCUGUUGGAUUUAUAUAAUAACAAUUCCAUCGUCUUAUACAUAGUUCAAUUUCUUCACCUUAUUCGCGAAACGUUUGAACGGCGACGCGAGGAGAUCACCGGCGAUCUAUCGGUUUCGUGAUUUCUUGUGUCUCCGACGUGACAUAAUUGGCAAUCCUGUCAGGAUCCAUUCAUCGCAUCAAGAGGAAACUUCAACGAGAACUCUAGGAAUUCUACAGCGACGGACCACGGUCACCUCCUUGAUGAAAAGAAGGAUCUCCAAAGAAUCUCGGUAAGCUGACGUUCGUACAUUAUCGAAACCGUAAACCCGAAAUACGUUCUGAAGAUAGUGAUUCUUCUGAAAACAUCAUAUCUAUCAAGAUGAAUCCAACUGACAUGAGUACGACAAAACAAAACGAAUUAAUCGCUACUAUCCUCGAACAAAACAUUAACAAUAUAAAAGAAUUCACGGAAACUAGUGAUAGAAAUCGGGCCAAGGAAAUACAUGACCUUGCAAAAACAAUAAAAGUGAAGCCACAGAUGAACACUCAUUUAGGAACUGGUGUCGGUAACGAGACAGACGACAAAGACCACGAAUUAGUCACGUCACGAUUAGACAAAGAAACGACUGCGGCAAAGAACAAAGCCUCCAAGCAGAAGAGGCCGUACGUACUAUUGAGACACUACGUGGUCUAGACGAUGUCGGUGUUGAAGAUUUUAUCCUAUCAGUCCGGAAAACAAGAGCCAGGUGCAAGUCAAGUGCUAGAGACUUCCUAUUAGAACUCGUACUUAUUGAAAACAUAACCGAUAACGCGAAAAGGAAUAUACGAUACCUAAAGAUUAACUCGUUUGAUGACCUAUAUUCAUGGUUAAGACUAAACGUGUCAGUACCAACCACUGUUGGCAAUUGCAGGUGAGGUGGAUAGGUCGUGAUAGGUGCGGCUGCCUAGUGUGUAGAUGUCGCUGCUGGUGUACUGCUGCUUCUCUUCUCAUGUUUGUAUCGUGGAAGAAAAAUCGGACUACCGACUGCGGUCGGAUUUGAACCUAAUCUGGAACGUUCGUAACCAACGGCGCUAACCCACUGCUCUGUUAUCGUCCGGUCAAGGAUAGGGUCUUUGCGUCGCAAGCCACGGGCCAUAAAUCGUUGGAAUUUUUUGGUGGUACGUACGAGGUACAGGAGCUUCGGUACUCCCAUCGAUAUUUUAUUAAUGCGAGUCGCUCAGGUGGUGGUCUCAAGAAUGAUCACUUCAAGAAAGAACACUCAGGAAUAACAAAAGACUACUGCCAAAAGAUAUUCUUCAUUGCGUACUAAGUAAAGGGCAGAUGGUAUGCAAAGAAGAUGAUAAUGGGAUUGUCGUAUUCAAAUAGAGAGAUCCACGGGAUUAUGCACGGCAGUGAAGAAUGAAAAUUGUUGCCCAGUUGAAGUCAUGUUUUUAGUCUUAUUAAACUGCAGAAAAAGUGGAUUAUACAAUGUGUAAGAUAACUUAUGAUAUCGCUGGCUCAAACAAAUUUAGGAAUGUCUACUUCCUGUUUGAUGUUUACAGGUAAUUCUUCAUUUUAUGUAUUCCAUUCUUUUAUACAGUUUAAGCAAAAGAUUGUCGAGCUGCUUCUAGUCGGACAACAAUUUUCGUUAAAACUUUUUAGAUUUUAUUUCUCUUAAUUAUUCUUACAAUUUGGUGAUCAAUGCCUAAAGUCUAAGGCGAUGUGAGGAAAUUCAACAAUGCAAAGCAUUGAGAUUUGUAUAAUUUUGUGUGCUAGACUAUGUUAGGUGCGUAGUAGUGAUACUUGUAUGUGAAUAUCAGUAUGUGGAAGUAUGCGUGUGCGCGACGUCUCGAAAACCAAUGAAUGUAAACUGUUCAGUCGGUUAACAGUCGGGUAUGGAAGAAAGUGCUGAGACGCGUGCGUUCAUGUACAAUUAUUUCGGCUAUUAAGAUGCAAAAUUUUCACCACAAAGUUAUAAACAAAAACCAAACGUUAUAACGAUACGUAAACAAUUUUUGACACGCAUAUACCGAAAGCAUGGAACCGCAAUGGUCCGAAACUUGAGUCGCGAUAAAGCAACAUGGAAGACAAGAAGGGCAUUGUCGUUCUACGUAUGCGUGACACGAGUACAUUAUUCGUUUCCGCCUGCCUGGUAAGAAAGUGGGCAAAACUGUAAAACCGUUUCAUGUUCUCUGAUCUCGAUAAUUUCUGAAGAUCAACAUUUCAAAGAAUCUUUUUCUUCCUGUGUAAACUGUAGAUCGGCCAUAAUUCCCGAGAAAUUCGCAAAAAGCCAUCGGUAUAAUUACUGUGUUCUUUCGCUAAUAAUUGUGCUUCUAUGGCAACGCACGCGUCAGAUAUUGGCUGCCAGCUGUCACGGAAUCUAUCACUUACCCUCUCUUUGUCACGACGAACGAGGCUGGCACGAGCUUGGGUAAACCUCCAUAUACAACUGCAUAUGAGAUACUCUAAGAAAUGUCUUUUAUUAUAAUUCAAUCGGAAGGGAAUGUCGUCAAUAUAUUUUAUUUGGGUUUAGAUUAGUUAUUUCAUUCCAGCCAGCGCGAGAC